rnacentral:rRNA from 1 species
AACGAACGCUGGCGGCACGUUUUAAGCAUGCAAGUCGAAUGGCAGCAGGGGCAACUCUGUGAGAAUGGCGUACGGGUGAGUAACACGUAGGUGAUCUGCCUUGAGGAUGGGGAUAGCCUGUGGAAACCCAGGGUAAUACGGAAUGAGCUGCGGAGACUUUGGUUUUGUUAGUAAAGGUGUUACGGCACCGCCUUGAGAGGAGCCUGCGGCUGAUUAGCUAGUUGGUGGGGUAAGAGCUUACCAAGGCGACGAUCAGUAGCCGGCCUGAGAGGGUGUACGGCCACACUGGAACUGAGACACGGUCCAGACUCCUACGGGAGGCAGCAGCUAAGAAUCUUCCGCAAUGGGCGAAAGCCUGACGGAGCGAUGCCGCGUGAUCGAUGAAGGUCGAGAGAUUGUAAAGAUCUUUUCUACAUGAGGAAUAAGUCUGGGAGGGAAUGCCCGGAUGAUGACGUUAGUGUAGGAAUAAGCCCCGGCUAAUUACGUGCCAGCCGCCGCAGUAA